UACGGAGGGUGCAAGCGUUAUCCGGAUUCACUGGGCUUAAAGGGUGCGUAGGAGGGCAGGUAAGUCAGUGGUGAAAUCUCCAAGCUUAACUUGGAAACUGCCGUUGAUACUAUCUGUCUUGAAUAUUGUGGAGGUGAGCGGAAUAUGUCAUGUAGCGGUGAAAUGCUUAGAUAUGACAUAGAACACCAAUUGCGAAGGCAGCUCGCUGCUCAAUUAUUGACGCUGAGGCACGAAAGCGUGGGGAUCAAACAGG
rnacentral:rRNA from 1 species